UACGUAGGGGGCUAGCGUUGUCCGGAAUCAUUGGGCGUAAAGAGCGCGUAGGCGGCUAGAUAAGUCCGGUGUGAAAGUCACAGGCUCAACCUGUGAAUGCCGCUGGAAACUGUCUGGCUAGAGGUCGGUAGGGGAGUGUGGAAUUCCUGGUGGAGCGGUGAAAUGCGCAGAUAUCAGGAGGAACACCCGUAGCGAAGGCGGCACUCUGGGCCGAUACUGACACUGAGGAGCGAAAGCGUGGGGAGCGAACAGG
rnacentral:rRNA from 1 species